UACGGGGGGGGCAAGCGUUGUUCGGAAUUACUGGGCUUAAAGGGUACGUAGGCGGCGCAGCAAGUCAGGGGUGAAAUCCCGGAGCUCAACUCCGGAACUGCCCUUGAAACUGCAGUGCUAGAAUCUUGGAGAGGCGAGUGGAAUUCCGAGUGUAGAGGUGAAAUUCGUAGAUAUUCGGAAGAACACCAGUGGCGAAGGCGACUCGCUGGACAAGUAUUGACGCUGAGGUGCGAAAGCGUGGGGAGCAAACAGG
rnacentral:rRNA from 1 species